rnacentral:rRNA from 1 species
UACGUAGGAUGCAAGCGUUGUCCGGAUUUACUGGGCGUAAAGCGCGCGCAGGCGGCAUGGCAAGUAAGGUGUGAAAUCCAUCUGCUCAACGGGUGGGGUGCACUUUAGACUGCCAAGCUAGAGGUCGGUAGAGGGGGGUGGAAUUGCUGGUGUAGCGGUGAAAUGCGUAGAGAUGUGGAGGAACACCGAUGGCGAAGGCAGCCUCCUGGGCCAGCACUGACGCUCAUGCACGAGAGCGUGGGGAGCAAACAGG